AAUGUCAAAACGCAAGUACAAAUUGAACCUAACAGCACAAUUAAAUUACCCCAUGCAAGACUAAAAAGAGGACAUAAUGCAUUGCUCUUCACAGAUGACUGCAGAUUUGAUCUUGAUCAAGGAGGAUCACACACUGCAGAUGUUGAGACCAUGUCUACAUCUGGCCACUUGAAGCUUACACAGCAAUCUGAUCCAGAUCACACGGCUGAUCAGG